CGGUACCCGCCCGCGCCCUCGCGCGUCGGCCAGGAACCUCGGCCCCAUGCGGGCGGGCCAGCGCGGCCAGGAGGGCCGGGAAGAGGGGUCCCCGGGGCCCCGGAUGCGCUGAACUCCGGGGAGGGGAUGGGCAGGAGAGAGAGCACACUCCUGGAGCCGCGACGUCCAAACCCGGACGCACUUGAACCCGCAGCGAGGCCCGUGGCUCGCGGCCUUCGGAGAGCACCCGCGCCCCGCGCAGACCGGACGCCGGCCUUGCCCGAUCCUCGGCAUCCUUCGGCGGGGCAUACGUGAUCAUUUAACACACGGGUGUUAAGUUCAUUCUUGCUGCAAAAGAAGGCCAUUGUACCUCCUGACCCUGAAAGCAAGGGACACUGGAUUUUGUGGAUGCUCCUUGGACACACUGGAAUGCACCUUGGGCAGCCCGUGGAUCAUUUUCCCCAGUAUGAAGCAUGGGAGGAGCUGGAAAAUGAACUCAUGAGCCAGUUGAGCCAGCACAACAAGCUGGAGCCAGGAGUCUGGCUGGGCUAGCUUUUAUCUUGUGCUCCCUGGAACCCUGACUGGAUGAUUUCUGAAGUCGAGCUGGAGCCCAUCUAGAGGGAAGGUGAAACUUCUCCUCAGCAUGCAGGGCCUCCUGCACCCACACUGCCACAGCCACCGCAUUACCAGCUCCUGCCAGUCUGAGGAGCAAGAGGCUGGCAUGAAGAAUCAGUUCCAUUCUUUCCUCCCUAAAUUUAGAAAAAGCCUGUUUUGCAAAGCUUUCUUCAGUGUUUCAAGACAAAAAAAAAAAAAUUAAGCAGUUGCACAACAUGCAUAUCUUCUCCUGGCCUGCAGCUCCAGGAUAUGCAGCUGGGAGCGAGUGUCCAGCCAACAGCCCGUGUCUCAGGCCCUGCCAGGGGAUGAAUCAAUUAGCAAGAGAAGCAAUGAUGCAAAUGCUCCGGGGUCACUUGGGAUGCUGUUUGCCUUUUUGAUAGAGAAAGCACACCAUAAAUAACAUCACACCUCAGGAAAUCAUUCCAGGAGGCCCCGAUGCUGGCAGGGCUGCUGCCAGGGACGGAAGGAAUCGUUUGCUCAUUGUGUGUAUUUCCCCCAGCUCAGUCAAUGGGAGAUUUGUAGUAAAAUCAAAGUAUUUAAAAGGAGGACAGUAUGUGGUAACAGAGGCAUGUUUAGCAAUUUUUUUAGUACCAGAACCUGUGAUUUAUGACCCAGAGUUACAGCCAACUUUAUUACAAAAAUGACUUCACCCAUAAUAACCUUAUUCAGGGCCCUCUGAUGAAUGAUGUAGUAUCCAACAGCAUUAUAAUCUAGUAAAUAUUCAAACACAAUUCCCGCCUCCGCCUCAUUUCCAACCAACCCCUCAGAAGCAGGCUUCCCCCUUUACCUGCUGGGAGAAGUGGGGUCCUGGGUAAGGCUUUGUGCUCUGUCUGUGGGAGUUUGCCUGGAUCAGGCAUUUAUACUAAGCCAGGACAGAAAGUGACCUCCUGGGGUCUCAGUCAUAUCUUGUCCAACCUUGUCCCCUGAGGAGUAAUGAGCAGAAGACACCCACUCACCCUUCAUUUCCUCUCUGUGCUGAAACUUAUUUCCUCCCUGCAUUCCCCCACUCCUCCAGAGCUCAGAUCCCCACCACCUGAAAGGAGCUCCAGUAAGCUCCCUGACAUUUUUAAUUGCCAUGGUAACUGAGGGCUGCACUAAAACCGCCAGGGCUGGGUGUCCAAGCAGGGUCCCCUGGGCGUACCGGGAUCUAGAAACUAGCCCUCCAUCUUAUUAAACUCCGGUGUCAGUUCCUAGCAAUUGUUUUAAAUUUACACCCUCAGAGUGGCUUAGUGGGAUUACAUGUCCAUUUGCAUUAAAACAGUUUUCUGUCAUUAAACUGCCAUACAAUAAGCUUCCUUGGGACAAAUUAAUGAGCUCUAAAUAUCAUCAAGUAGAAGUUCACUUCAAGACAGGCAACAAGGAGGGGGGUCGGAAGGAAGUGGCUGCUCAGAAUCUCAUGGCCCAGGAGAACGAUAAGUGCCAACUAAAGAAGGGUCUUGUCCUGUUUCUUCACUGCACGAUAAGUGGUCCUGAUUUAGAGCUGAAUGGGGAGAUUUGGCAAUAUUCUCCCUGUUCGCCAAAAUCCUAUAGCUCAUCUUCUAUUCCUUCUUCCAAAUAUGACUUUACCCUUGACUUUGCUGAAAUUUGCUGAUGAAACACUGACCUCUUGUCUCAGUGACAAUGUCUCAGCCUCAUUUUCUUUGUCCUGUAGUUUCUCUGUCCUUGAGGAACUUGCGUGCAUCCACGUGGCCUGGGAACAACACGCACACAACGCAGCACUAUGUGUAGCUUGAACAAGUGCUCCCUAACUUUGUUAGUUCCCACACACUUUGCUAAAAUGCAUGUAUGAUUGCUACUGAACUGUCUGGGUCCUCAGACCUUAUCGGGACCCUGGAACACGAGUCCUGAUCAGGAGCACCUUUCAUGGUCAUCAGGAGCAGAAUAGGAACAGGGAACAGUUUAGCUUCUAAGACUGAAUUUGUCCUGCUCACAAGAAUCACCAGAGCUUGUCCUCACAAAUACAUAUGUGUGUCUAAGUAGAAAUUUUUCAUUAACACCAAAUAAACCCCCAAACCUUCCCUUAUGUAAAGGAAAUAAGACUGGCUGCUAGACAGACUUCUUGAUCCACAGAGGCUGUGAUCUCAUUUCUGUGUAGCCUUAACAGGGGACAGUAAUGUAUGAUUGAGACACUGCUAUAUUUAGGAAUGACAAGAUGAACAUUAUUAAUAGCUUAAUUGACAUUAAGGCAAUUACCCCUACCCUUAUUACAGUUUGUAGAAUUACACAGAAAAUAUUGGCUGGGGCCUUUUUUUCCCUAGAGCUACCCAAGGAUACAGCAUUUUAUUUCAUGCCAGAUCCCAGCUUUGACAUUAGAUACUUAGCCAUAGAAUGAUUCCAGUAAAUCAUUAUAAAUGCAUUAUAAUAAAGAUGUUAUGAGCUAUCAGAUAUUAACCCCCAACCCCUAAAGAGAGAUAAAUAGUCCAGUUGCAUGAUUCCCACUUUUGUUUCAUAAGAAAUAAGCUUUUGCAAAGAGCAACUGACUAAUGAAUUAUAAAAUGGUGUGUUGAGCUCAGAUAAUUAAACAAUGCAUUUUAGUGUCUAGUGCAGGAUGAACACUAAAUCAUACACAAAUAAAAAAGGUAAAAAUCUGAGCCCCAUGCCUAACUCCUAUUUUUGAAUAACAUUAAUGUUGGUCUACAGUCCAAAAAUGCUUCAACUAUUUUCUUAUCUGAUUAGAGAGGCAUAUCAAGUAUAAGAUCAAGGCACAGUAGGCAAACUAAACCAACAGUCAGAACAAAAACUGUGAAGGUGCUAAUUUCAGAUAAGCCCACAAGGUUAUUUUAAUGGAGAUUUUACAUGGAGAUUGCUUUUUCCCCCAAAGUGUUAAUGGGACAAAAGUCUAGAAGGACCUGGAAGUUUUCAGGUUUCCUUAUACUUUAUAUUUUCUCUGAACUCAUAAUAAAGCAUAUUAGUGGGAAUGGGAUCUAUGCUAUUGGUGGUGGUCUUAGCCUUAUAGUGUUGGAAAGAUGAAUACACAUCCUAAAAUCUUCUCUAGGUUGUGGAGGUGCAGGGAUGAGGAGGGGUUGGUUUGGGUUUCAACCAUUAUCCUCCCCAGGUGGUGGUAUCCUGCCCAGCAGGGCUUCAUCUAGUGGUCAACCAUGGAACACCAUGACAUUUUCACCAGUGGCCCUCAGACAGGGCUGGUUUGCCAUUGGCUGCCAUUUCCUGGCAUGUCGUAGAUUUGCUGCGUGAUUUGAAGCUGUGCUUCAGCACAUCCUGAAUGUGUUUUUUAGUCUUUCAGUAUCUCAAAGACAUGGUGUCCGCCUCAAGGUAGUCUCCUAUUUCUUCGUCAAAUAGCACAUCAUUAAGGACUGUGUGGCCAAAAUUACAGAUGGUCUUGGACUCUGUAUGGGCAAUGACCACCUGUGCUGGUAAUCGAGGCUUCCCUGGAACACCUGGGAACAUACCACACAGCCAGUCCUCUCCUGUGCUCCAGUCAAGCUUAACCUCACAGCCCGAUACUCCCUCCACUUCCCUAGCUCCAUGUGUUAGCCACUGCAGGUUAAUUGAUCUAAGGCUUAUUUUCUUCAAAUAUAAAAUGAAGAUAAUAAUGCCUACCCAGAGGGUCAUGUGAACAUUAAAUGAGAUCAAUUAUGUAAAGAUCUAUCUAUGCAGUGCCUUUCACAGAGUAUGCCCACAAAUAAAUGUUACCUGUUUCAUUUUAGUUAUCUAUGUUUAGCUAUCUUUGUGUUUUUUCUAUCCUGCUUCUUCUCGCUCCACUAUACUCUUACAUCCUAAUUCUCUCUCUCUCUCAUACACACAUACUUUGCUGUGUCUAGCACAGUGCUUUGCUUGUGGCUCACACUCUACAUGCUUGUUACCCUGAACUAUUAACAAAAGCAGCUGCUAGUAACAGUUAAUGUUUUCUGACCACCUACAUGAGCCAGGCACUAUGCUAAGUAUCAUCACUUCCUUUAAUUCUCACAAGCUUAUGAGACAAAUACUAUUUUAAUUCUCAUCUAUCGGAAAUUAAAGAUUAAAGAUGUUCUAUAACUUGCCCAAGGUCACACAAGCUCUUAAGUGGAUAGUCAAGAUCCAAACUCAGAACCGGCCUGGAUUUGAAAUCUCAGUUCUUAACUAUCACUGUGUCAGACUGAUUUUGUUAGCUUUUUCCUCCUUUAGACUGGGCCCUAUCAAGGGAUCAGAGAUAAGCAUGUACCCACUCUCAGAUGAGUGAUCCCACGACCUCAAGUUUUGAAGUUCCAGGAAGUCCAGAAGUGUAUGCUAACUCUAGUUUAUAGCUGUUCAAAAGUCACUUGUCUAAAAACUUCAGGGACAUUAUGUAAAACCAUCCAAAAAACAUUAUUGCACACCCCAUAAAGUUAAUUUCACUUUGCAAGAAUGUGUUUGAGGGAGGUGAUGCACUUGGCUAUGUAUUCAGGUUGGUGGCCACAAUAUAUGGAGCUGUGCUGUCAUCCUUGACACUCUGGCUUACUGGCAGCCUCGCUCCAACACACUGUCACAGGCGAGGGAUGGCCUCCCAGUCUUGACUCAGAACACUUAAGCUUCCUAAUGGUCCAAGUCUCACAAACCACACACCUCCCUUAAUUAAAAAAGUAAAUUAAAAGGAGUAUUUCAACUUAGGGAUGAAUUAUCUUAGUAAUUUAAGAUUGACAUUUUAUUGGAUAAAAGGACAUGUAUGAGUUUAUUUUAAAAUACUGCCUUCAUGAACAAGAGACCACAGAAAAGAUUAUCCUGAGGUUGCAAGGCGUUUGUAGAGCCAGAGGACACCCUUGCAAAACAGCCACUGUGAGAGGCCAGUUGCUGCAAAUCACAGGUCAGCCACUUCUACACUUGUCCUUCAAGCACAUCAGCCGGACAUUUGGAGUUUUCUAUAGUCUUCAUUUCAAACUCGAUCAUCCUGAGUGUUGUGGUGGACACUACUAGUGUCACAAAGAGUCCAGCACCCUCUCCUUCCAGGUAUAUAAACGGUGCAUUGCUGGGCUCCUUUGCAGUUGGAUAGGUCAGGUAAUUUGUCUGUUGUGAAGAGUUACUAUGUUUCACUUCUAAGCCGAAGCAUUUGAUUGUCAAUGGAAUACCCUCCAGCUCUCUCCUUCCCUGCAGAAGUAAUCUUGGAAGCAUGUGUUGAGAUGACAGAGUUCCCAAUAGCCUAGAUUCCUGAAUGACUUAGUGGAGCUGAGUCCUCCACAGGUCCAUGUUGGACAUGCACAAUCAGUGAGAAUAAACUUUUGUUGGAUUAAGUCACCGAUGUUUGGAGACUGUUCAUUACCACAACAAAAUGUAGCCAAAUCCCGACUAAUCCAGGAAUUAACCUUUUGUUCAGAAAAUACAGCCCUUCUAAGUCAUAAACCCAUAUUCUCUUUCCAAUAGCUUAUUAAAUGGUUUAUGUAUUUUCCAUCUUUUUGAUAUACUCUCAGAUGCCUAAAAUUACCACAGUGACCUUGGAUUGGACAAGGUAGUUGUUUGUCUUUUAGCCAUUAAUAAAUAUUGCUACUGUGGAAUGAGUGAGGGAAACAGAAGAAGACAAGGUUGGCCUUUUGAAAAUAAUAUGGCAUCAUGUAACGAUGAAAAAGAGAAAAAAUACAGAAAAAAGAGAAAACAAGAGAAAAAUGAAAAACAAGUCUAUAAGAGAGAAAAGUAGAGAAAAACAAAACAAUAGAAAUGCUGGGCAAUUUGUUUCAGAUUCACUAUAACCAACUGCUUGUUGUUGGGUUCUGCUCUAGAAGGCAUCUCUCAGGAUGCCUUUGACCCUCAGCACCUUUUUGUGUAUGUGCCUAGCAUACUGAGGUGCUCAAUAAAUGUUGAUUGAAAGGGUAAAUAAAGGAAUAAAUUUCCAUUUUAUAAUCUUGGAAGCAUAUAUUACUUUAAACGGCCUAUGACUAUGAAUGGACAUUCCAUUGCACAUUGAAAGGCAGUACAACAAGUGAGAAGGGAAGUAGAAAUAUAUGAGUUUGAAUAGCUCUUCAUAACCUUUAAACCUGAGUCCUUGCAAAGAGCAACUAUGAGGUCAGAGCAAUAAUUCUUUGUCCUAAAAACAGGACACCACUGAUAACUCAGAGCCGUCUGUUGAAGAAAGUGUUUCAAAUAAACUGGUUAGCAAUGCCCUUGUUUUGUUUGCCUCUGGAUGGGAAGAACUAGGAGUGCAAUCAGCACCGAGGUGUCUAUAGUCUUGAUGUGGUGGGAGAUGAAAGUAGGGGAACUGAAUAAUGUAUUUUUUCAAAACCUUGAAUGGAGCGAGAAAUACUGAUAAAAAGGAAGAGUUGUGAGUCAUUCUUCUGCUGAUGCCAACUGGGAAGCUCCAGUAGUAUAUUCCCCUGGUGAUGAAGUAAUUCACUUUUUCUGAGAUUAACAUUCUGUAGUAAGGCUGUUCCUCAUACAAGGUUGCUCACAGGUAAAGUUAAUAAAAGGCAGAGUCUAAGAAUUCAUAAGGAAGUUUGCCUUUCCAUGGGGAGAAAGCAUGCAAUCAGGGUCUCUAGUCUGUGUGCACACGUGUGUGUGCGCGUGUGUGUGUGCGCGCGCGCACUCAUAUGCACAGCUCAGAUGUCCAGGACUUGAGAUGAGAAUGGAAAGCACCGAAUAAGAAGAAAGCUGCCACACAGUAGGCUGAAGGAGAAUGACUACAACCUUUAGGCUGAAAAAAAAAAAACACUACAUGCUGGCGUGUAUCCUUGUGGAUAUGUGGAAACACAACAAAAAUAUUGGUCCAUCCUGGCUGCAGUUUUAAAGGAAAGGAAGAUCUCCUGGCAUCAACAUCUCUUGGAGAUGAACACACUAUACAUGCAAGUUCAAAUCUAUCAUCUUCCACCAGUCAACCCAAGCUACAUUCCCCUUCCAUUUAUUAUCAAAGGAAUAAGCACUUUUGUUUCCCAGGCUUAACUCCUCAAAAUCAUGAGCUUUUCUUCCCUACCUUUCCCUUCAUUCGAACUCUUUCCUUUCAAAAUGUUUAUAGAAUUCAUUCUUAUCCUCUCCCUGCCUGGGGGGUUUAUCUAGCUAGUCUAAAUUCUAGAUCAUUGCCUUUCUAUAGGAAAUAUAAAACACACAAAUAAUGAAAUACCCAUAAUCCAAGGCAGAAAUCAUGAGUGUUAUAGUAACAAUGGCCUCAAGAGCUAGACUGCCCAGGCAGCUCAUAUU
rnacentral:lncRNA from 10 species